rnacentral:rRNA from 1 species
UACGUAGGGAGCGAGCGUUGUCCGGAAUCAUUGGGCGUAAAGAGCACGUAGGUGGAUCAAUUAGUCUGCUGUGAAAGUCGAAGGCUCAACCUUCGAAAGCCGGUGGAUACUGUUGAUCUAGAGUACGGAAGAGGCGAGUGGAAUUCCUGGUGUAGCGGUGGAAUGCGCAGAUAUCAGGAGGAACACCAAUAGCGAAGGCAGCUCGCUGGGACGUUACUGACACUGAGGUGCAAAAGCGUGGGGAGCAAACAGGA